rnacentral:rRNA from 1 species
CAGGCCUAACACAUGCAAGUCGAGCGAGAAGCUCAUGACAGAAUCUUCGGAGGACGGAUUGAGUGGAAAGCGGCGGACGGGUGAGUAACGCGUGGGUAACCUGCCCUGUACAGAGGAAUAGCCAUUGGAAACGAUGAUUAAUGCCUCAUAAGACUACAGUAUCGCAUGAUACAGUAGCCAAAACUCCGGUGGUACAGGAUGGACCCGCGUUAGACUAGCUAGUUGGUAAGGUAAAGGCUUACCAAGGCGACGAUCUAUAGCCGACCUGAGAGGGUGAUCGGCCACACUGGAACUGAGACACGGUCCAGACUCCUACGGGAGGCAGCAGUGGGGAAUAUUGCACAAUGGGCGAAAGCCUGAUGCAGCAACGCCGCGUGAGCGAAGAAGGUCUACGGAUCGUAAAGCUCUGUCCUAUGGGAAGAACACAAUGACGGUACCAUAGGAGGAAGCCCCGGCUAACUACGUGCCAGCAGCCGCGGUAAUACGUAGGGGGCAAGCGUUAUCCGGAAUCACUGGGCGUAAAGGGUGCGUAGGCGGUUUCUCAAGCCAGAAGUGAAAGGCAAUGGCUCAACCAUUGUAAGCUUUUGGAACUGAGAGACUUGAGUGCAGGAGAGGAAAGUGGAAUUCCUAGUGUAGCGGUGAAAUGCGUAGAUAUUAGGAGGAACACCAGUGGCGAAGGCGACUUUCUGGACUGUAACUGACGCUGAGGCACGAAAGCGUGGGGAGCGA